GACCAGACUCCUACGGGAGGCAGCAGUGGGGAAUAUUGCACAAUGGGCGAAAGCCUGAUGCAGCGACGCCGCGUGAAGGAUGAAGUAUUUCGGUAUGUAAACUUCUAUCAGCAGGGAAGAAAAUGACGGUACCUGACUAAGAAGCCCCGGCUAACUACGUGCCAGCAGCCGCGGUAAUACGUAGGGGGCAAGCGUUAUCCGGAUUUACUGGGUGUAAAGGGGGCGCAGACGGCAGCGCAAGCCAGGAGUGAAAGCCCGGGGCCCAACCCCGGGACUGCUCUUGGAACUGCGCGGCUGGAGUGCAGGAGGGGCAGGCGGAAUUCCUGGUGUAGCGGUGAAAUGCGUAGAUAUCAGGAGGAACACCGGUGGCGAAGGCGGCCUGCUGGACUGCGACUGACGUUGAGGCCCGAAAGCGUGGGGAGCAAACAGGAUUAGAUACCCGAGUA
rnacentral:rRNA from 1 species